UUACAUCCCAGCUCCUUUGUUCUAACAGGGGUGAUCUGAGCCGGAUCACCCCAACCAGAUCACCCCACUUUGAGUUUCUUUGUUAUGCAUGCUUUCCUUUGUUCUGUAACAUUUUGGCGGGAAUGUCAAAUCCACUAUAAAACUUAUAAUUAAAUAUACAAUUAUCCGGAAAAGACUAUCUAUCAAAAUUCACGUAGAAAAAAUCCAGUGUAUAUGCUGGGAUUCGAACUCAAGACCUUUAGCAUAUCAAGCCACGACACAACCACUACACCAGGACGACUGGAUACAAACUGUCAGUAAUUUAACAUACUUAAAGGAAGCAAGAUAUUUUUAUAAGUGGGGCGAGUUGGCAGACCUUUAUUCAGUAGGGUUUAAACCCUUUUCGUUAAUAAGUGAGUUGUCAGUGACUGUUCAGUUUGAUUUUACACUUUUUCAAAAGUGGGACGAUUUGUUUCAUAAAGUGGCGAUAUAGGUUGGGCCGAUUGGCCAAUGGGGC
rnacentral:lncRNA from 1 species